rnacentral:rRNA from 1 species
CGUAGGCGGCAAGGCAAGUCAGAUGUGAAAUCCCCGGGCUCAACCUGGGAAUUGCAUCUGAAACUGCAGUGCUUGAGUCCUGGAGGGGAUAGUGGAAUUCCCAGUGUAGCGGUGAAAUGCGUAGAUAUUGGGAGGAACACCUGCAGCGAAGGCGGCUAUCUGGACAGUGACUGACGCUGAUGCGCGAAAGCCAGGGGAGCGAACGG